UACGUAGGGGGCUAGCGUUGUCCGGAUUUAUUGGGCGUAAAGAGCGUGUAGGCGGCCAGGUAGGUCUGCUGUGAAAACUCGAAGCUCAACCUCGAGACGUCGGCGGAAACCAUCUGGCUAGAGUCCGGAAGAGGAGAGUGGAAUUCCUGGUGUAGCGGUGAAAUGCGCAGAUAUCAGGAAGAACACCCGUGGCGAAGGCGGCUCUCUGGGACGGUACUGACGCUGAGACGCGAAAGCGUGGGGAGCGAACAGG
rnacentral:rRNA from 1 species